rnacentral:lncRNA from 1 species
GUUAGGAGUAAAAGUAAACUUUCACUAUAAACUCUAUUAAAACUUCUAUUACUCUUAAUAGUUUGGUAGUAAAAUGAUAAAAAUAAAAACAAUAGGUGAAAGAAAGAGUAAUUGUAAAAAAAAAAAAUUUAGUAAUAAAGUGAUAUGUCAACAAAUUUUAGGUGGUAAAAAAAAUAAUGCCCUUUAUAAAAAAAAAAUCAUUUGGUAGCUGAAAACUAUUUUCUUAUCUCUAUAAUGUCCGAGUUUCCAUCAUUGACAUCUUAAUUUCUAGCUAGGACAAUUGAUAAGCAAGAAAAACAGAGGAGGCUAAUCCAAAUUACACCAUUUUAUUAAUUGCUAAACACAUUAAAUGAUGUCUUCGAACAUUUUAGCAUUUAUUGGUGCAUAUUGCAUGUUAAUUAUGAUUUAGACAAAUUUAAAUCAUGCAACCAGAUUCAUAUAAUGCACAUGCCAAAGCCAUGCCGAGAUCUAACUUACAAUUUCACUUUUCUCUUGUUUGAUGUCUUAGGAUUUAAUUGAGUACCUUUCAAGCAAUUUAAUUUAGCUUGUCAACCAAAUUCGAAUCCUAAGACAGUAAACAAUUUUAA